CAUCGAUGAAGAACGCAGCGAAAUGCGAUAAGUAAUGUGAAUUGCAGAAUUCAGUGAAUCAUCGAAUCUUUGAACGCACCUUGCGCUCCUUGGUACUCCGAGGAGCAUGCCUGUUUGAGUGUCAU
rnacentral:rRNA from 1 species